rnacentral:rRNA from 1 species
AGUGAACGCUGGCGGUAGGCCUAACACAUGCAAGUCGAACGGCAGCACAGUAAGAGCUUGCUCUUACGGGUGGCGAGUGGCGGACGGGUGAGGAAUACAUCGGAAUCUACUUUUUCGUGGGGGAUAACGUAGGGAAACUUACGCUAAUACCGCAUACGACCUACGGGGGAAAGCAGUGGAUCUUCGGACCUUGCGCGAUUGAAUGAGCCGAUGUCGGAUUAGCUAGUUGGCGGGGUAAAGGCCCACCAAGGCGACGAUCCGUAGCUGGUCUGAGAGGAUGGUCGGCCACACUGGAACUGAGCCACGGUCCAGACUCCUACGGGAGGCAGCAGUGGGGAAUAUUGGACAAUGGGCGCGAGCCUGAUCCAGCCAUACCGCGUGGGUGAAGAAGGCCUUCGGGUUGUAAAGCCCUUUUGUUGGGAAAGAAAAGCAGCAGGUUAAUACCCCGCUGUUCUGACGGUACCCAAAGAAUAAGCACCGGCUAACUUCGUG